rnacentral:rRNA from 1 species
UACGGGGGGAGCAAGCGUUGUUCGGAUUUACUGGGCGUAAAGCGCGUGCAGGUGGUCUUUUAAGUUUCGUGUGAAAGCCCUCGGCUCAACCGAGGAACGGCACGGAAAACUGGAGGACUCGAGUACGGGAGAAGAGGGCGGAAUUCCCAGUGUAGAGGUGAAAUUCGUAGAUAUUGGGAGGAACACCGGCGGCGAAAGCGGCUCUCUAGACCGAUACUGACGCUCAUACGCGAGAGCGUGGGGAGCGAACAGG